GGGGAUGACAGGUUUCGACGGGGACGGCUGUGCCUGGAUUGCAGGCCGAGUUUGGCUCAAACUCGCUAAACAGGGCCAAAACACAAGUGCCGAGCCUUCGCUCGCACUCGCUGCCUAAGAGGUAGCGAUGCCCUCCCGGCGCCCCGCCGGCGCGUCGGGGUUGGGUAUCAUGCAGUCGGCGUGCCGCGGCCCUGACACCGAUGGGGAUCGCGAAAGAUGCAUCGGUUGGCACCCUCCUCGGCUCGGUCGGGUGAGAUGGGAAGGUGCGAGACACUGGCAAGCCCGACUAAGCCUGUAGCAUAUCCAGUCGCGAACUCUUCGGACGCCGGUUCGAUUCCGGCCAUCUCCACCA
rnacentral:tmRNA from 1 species